UCAAGUUAUGAAGGGCGCAGGGUGGAUGCCAUGGCACUGGACGCCGAAGAAAGACGUGGUAAGCUGCGAAAAGCCACGGGGAGCCGCAAGCAGGCUUUGAUCCGUGGAUGUCUGAAUGGGGAAACCCGGCGGAAGUAAUGUUCCGUCAUCCGUGAAUGAAUCCAUAGUUCACGAGAAGGGCACCCGGGGAACUGAAACAUCUAAGUACCCGGAGGAAAAGAAAGAAACAUCGAUUUCGUCAGUAGCGGCGAGCGAAAGCGAAAGAGCCCAAACCAUCCGACUACGGUUGGGUGGGGUUGUGGGUCAGCAACAUGUACGACGAUGCUUAGGAGAAGAGUUCUGGAAAGGACUUCCAAAGAGGGUAAGAGGCCCGUAUCCGAAAAGUUGAAUCGGCUAGCUGAUACCAGAGUACCACAGGACACGAGGAAUCCGGUGGGAAGCAGGAGGGACCACCCUCCAAGGCUAAAUACGAUCCAGUGACCGAUAGCGCAUAGUACCGUGAGGGAAAGGUGAAAAGAACCCCGGGAGGGGAGUGAAAAAGAACCUGAAACCCUGUGCUUACAAGCAGAGAGAGCACGAUUAAGUGUGAUCUCGUACUUUUUGUAGAACGGACCGGCGAGUUACGUUAUGCAGCGAGGUUAAGGACUGAAGGUCCGGAGCCGAAGCGAAAGCGAGUCUGAAUAGGGCGCAUAGUUGCAUGACGUAGACCCGAAACCGGGUGACCUAUCCAUGGGCAGGUUGAAGUGGAAGUAAAAUUUCAUGGAGGACCGAACCAGACGUCUGUUGAAAAAGGCGGGGAUGACCUGUGGAUAGCGGAGAAAUUCCAAUCGAACCCGGAGAUAGCUGGUUCUCCUCGAAAUAGCUUUAGGGCUAGCCUCGCAUUAGUUUACCGGAGGUAGAGCACUGAAUGGUCUAGGGGGCCUCACCGCCUACCGAAACCUAUCAAACUGCGAAUGCCGGAUAAAUGAUGUGCGGGAGUCAGGCCGCGAGAGAUAAGUUCCGCGGUCAAAAGGGGAACACCCCAGAUCGUCUGCUAAGGUCCCCAAGUACGCGUUAAGUGGGAAAGGAUGUUGGAUUGCACAGACAACCAGGAUGUUGGCUUAGAAGCAGCCACACAUUCAAAGAGUGCGUAAUAGCUCACUGGUCGAGUGAUCCAGCGCCGAAAAUGUAACGGGGCUAAAACGCGACACCGAAGCAGCGGGAUGCGUAAGCAUCGGUAGAGGAGCAUUGUGUGAGGGUUGAAGCCAGAGCGGGAGCACUGGUGGACUUCACAGAAGAGAGAAUGCCGGUAUGAGUAGCGAGACCCAUGCGAGAAACAUGGGCGUCGAAGGCCCAAGGUUUCCUGGGGAAGGUUCAUCCACCCAGGGUAAGUCGGGACCUAAGCCGAGGACUGAGGUCGUAGGCGAUGGACAGCAGGUAGAGAUUCCUGCACCACUUAUACUUGUUUGACGAAGCAGUGACACAGAAGGAUAGGACGAGCGCGGUGAUGGUCAACCGCGUAGGCGGCACGAGGCCGGGAAGCAGUGAAGUACACUUCCCGCAAAGGCUGAGUGUUGACAGGACCGAAAAGAAGUAGGGAAGCGUCCGAGUUCACGCUGGCGAGAAAAGCUGCUAAGGAGAGUGUGAGUGCCCGUACCGGAAACCGACGCAGGUGGGCGAGGAGAGAAUCCUGAGACGGACGGGAGAACUCUUGUUAAGGAACUCGGCAAAAUGACCCCGUAACUUCGGGAGAAGGGGUGCCUCGAAAGAGGCCGCAGAGAAUAGUCACAAGCGACUGUUUAGCAAAAACACAGGUAUCUGCGAAAGCGAGAGCUGACGUAUAGGUGCUGACGCCUGCCCGGUGCUGGAAGGUUAAGGGGAAGUGUUAGGGGAAACCCGAAGCAGAGAACCGAAGCCCCAGUAAACGGCGGCCGUAACUAUAACGGUCCUAAGGUAGCGAAAUUCCUUGUCGGGUAAGUUCCGACCCGCACGAAUGGCGUAACGACUUGUGAGCUGUCUCAACAGGAGGCCCGGUGAAAUUGAAGUAUGUGUGAAGAUGCACAUUACCCGCGACUGGACGGAAAGACCCCGUAGAGCUUUACUGUAACCUGACAUUGGAUCUUGAUAACGGAUGCACAGGAUAGGUGGGACGCUGGGAG
rnacentral:rRNA from 1 species